rnacentral:rRNA from 1 species
CCUACGUGAGGCUGCAGUGGGGGAUAUUGCACAAUGGAGGAAACUCUGAUGCAGCGACGCCGCGUGAGGGAAGACGGUCUUCGGAUUGUAAACCUCUGUCUUUGGGGAAGAAAAUGACGGUACCCAAAGAGGAAGCUCCGGCUAACUACGUGCCAGCAGCCGCGGUAAUACGUAGGGAGCGAGCGUUGUCCGGAAUUACUGGGUGUAAAGGGAGCGUAGGCGGGCGAGAAAGUUGAAUGUUAAAUCUACCGGCUUAACUGGUAGCUGCGUUCAAAACUUCUUGUCUUGAGUGAAGUAGAGGCAGGCGGAAUUCCUAGUGUAGCGGUGAAAUGCAUAGAUAUCACGCAGAACCCCGAUUGCGAAGGCAGCCUUCCGGCGCCCUACUGACGCUGAGGCACGAAAGUGCGGGGAUCGAACAGGAUUAGAUACCCUUGUAGUC